ensembl:lncRNA
GAAACUCUCUGGGGUGGAAGGCCUUCAAGGGCUCCAUAGGAGACCAAGACUGUUUCCAGGGAGACCCAGACCCUGCAGAGGUGGUGGAGGCUGAAUGAAAGAACACGACGUGGAUCUACCAUUGGCCCUUCCAGGGUGUGUAGUUCGCUCAGAGAUGAAGAGCAAGGGCAUUACCAGGAAGGGGAACAGCAUAAGCUAAGGCCUGCAGUCAUGCUGGAGAGGAGAAGGCCAUCAAGCCCUGGUCUGCAGGAAAAGCCAAAGCAGGGCCCCUCGCCUCCAUCCCAUCCUGCCUGCCCUCGUCACCUGCAUGGCAGAGAGAUGGCCUCUGCUCCUGCAGUGGGACCACUAGGCUUUAGGCAUGAGAUUAGGUGAUGUUAACCUCCACUUCACUCACUCCCCAGACCAGCCCCCUCCCCAGCCCUUCAUGGAUCACUUCAGGGUCAGACAGGCAUAUGUGGCUAUUAGCCCAGAGUCUGUAACAGAACCCUACUGGGGCUCAUCCAGUUUCUCUCACAUGCCUCCAGUGAUAGG